rnacentral:ncRNA from 1 species
ACAUUACUUUUCAUAUUUGUAUCGUAUAUCGUCAAGAAUAAGGCUUGACAGUUUCUACCGGGCUGCCGUAAAUGGCCUGACUACGAACGAAUAGAAAGAGAAU